AAGAUUUUAAGUUAUUAAACUAUUUACCUUCAAAGUAAAAAUUACCCAAAGUAAAUCUUA
rnacentral:tRNA from 1 species